rnacentral:rRNA from 1 species
CAGGGAGGUAGUGACAAGAAAUAACAAUACGGGGCUUAAUGUCUUGUAAUUGGAAUGAUGGGAAUUUAAACCUCUUCCAGAGUAUCAAUUGGAGGGCAAGUCUGGUGCCAGCAGCCGCGGUAAUUCCAGCUCCAAUAGCGUAUAUUAAAAUUGUUGCAGUUAAAAAGCUCGUAGUUGAAUUUCUGCUGCAUUACAUAUCUCUUGUUUGAGUUUGUUUUUGUGGCUUAUUUCGGUUUGAUUUUUACUUUCCGGAUGAUUACUUUGAGAAAAUUAGAGUGCUCUAAGCAGGCUUUUGCCUUGAAUAGUUUAGCAUGGAAUAAUAAAGUAGGACUUUGGUUCUAUUUUGUUGGUUUUAGGUACCAAAGUAAUGGUUAAUAGGAACAGUUGGGGGCAUUCGUAUUUAACUGUCAGAG